rnacentral:rRNA from 1 species
UACGUAGGGUGCGAGCGUUAAUCGGAAUUACUGGGCGUAAAGCGUGCGCAGGCGGUUCGUUGUGUCGGUGGUGAAAGCCCCGGGCUUAACCUGGGAAUGGCCAUGGAAACUGGCGAACUGGAGUGUGGCAGAGGGGGGUGGAAUUCCGCGUGUAGCAGUGAAAUGCGUAGAGAUCGGCAGGAACACCCAGGGAGAAAUCAGCCGCCUGGGCAAGUGCUGACGCUUAGGUGCGAAAGCGUGGGGAGCGAACCGG